GUGUUGGGAUUACAGGAUUGAGCCACCAUGCCUGGCCUGAUGUUUUAUUUUUAUAUGAUAUAGUGAAGCUAAAUACAUCUGGUUCUGUUAAUAAACAUGAAAAAUUAUACAAUGAGGAAGUAUAUUCCUCUAGAAAUUGUGUGUUCAUAAAUUUGCUAAUCUGCUACAGAACACUAGUAUAUGACAGUGCUAUGGACUCAAUGUUUGUGUCCCCCCGCAAAUUCAUAUGUUGAAAUCCUGACCCCUAGUGUGAUUGUAUUAGAAGGUGGGGCCUUUGGUAGGUUAUUAGGUCAUGAGGGUAGAGUCUUCACAAAUAGGAUUAGUGCCCUUAAGCGUUCUCUGCCUGUUUCUAUUCUGUAAAUACAUGUAAAGCCCUGAUAAAUUUCCCCAAAUGUCAUUGUUACAAACCUAUUUGUAUCUUUACUACCGAGCAUAUCCUGGGAAAAUUUUUUAUUUGAAAUCACACGGUUAAGAGUUCAGAAUUGGUUAGAAGAGUAGGGAAUGCCUUACGCUAAUAUGUCUACGAUGACAUAUUUGUGUUCCUGUAGUGUUAAGGAUAGGAAGGCAAUGGAUAUUCAACAGCAGCAACAAUAAUAACAACAAUUAAUCUAAAGAAACUUAAAAGAAAAUAUGGCUAAAUAUUUACCCACUUUUGGCAUUUGAGUUUUGCUUUCAAUUAUUUAAACUGGAUUUCCUGAAGUAUUUAAUUUGAAAUGUGAAUAUCUGUUCUCUUCAAGUGAUACCUUUUUCCUUUACUGAUUUUAAUGUGUUUUCUGUAGCUGUAAUAAGCCAUAACCAGGUGUCUGACAGCUUUUCUGAGUCCAGAAGCACAGAAUGCUCUGUGAAAGACCAUGGUCCGUUCUCUCCCCAUCAACACCUUUUUAUUUGUUCUGUACCCCAUUUAUUUUGUCUAGAAGCAGACACACAGACCUUAGGCCUAUUAAAGUUGUGUUUUGGCUUAGUUUCAGUACACAUAUCCUUUAAAUACAGCAGUUAUUAAAAAUUAUUUUAGGCAAUUAUAAAGGGUAAAGAGUUCUUGGUGGAAUUUUCCAUUGAUAAAAAGCGACCCCCAAACCAUUUCUUUUCUAACAGAAAGCGGCCUGAAACGUCAAGCUGCAAGCAUAGCUAUGCAAGCUAGCUUUCAUAUUGAAUACCAGCAGCUGUACCUGGAAGCCAGGCACAUUCAAUAUGGUGAUUCUCGCUCCCUUUUCUUUGUGACCACGUGUGUGGGUGUCAUGGCACCAGCGGGGUAAAGUCACAUGUGCAGGUGUCAUGGCAACAGUCAGAUAGAAGCCACAAUUGCAUAAUAAAAUAUUAGGGUUGGAGGGCCAGUCUUUUCAUGGGCUGUGUAAAUGGAACACCUGGUCAAACCAAUCCCCUGGGCCCUAUGUAAAUCAAUCACCGCCUCCUCAAGCCUCCGUACAAAAUUGAUCACGUUUUGCCCCAAACCCGGAAACCCUCUCUCCGGCGACCUGCUUUCUCAGCAUGAGGAAGCUUAUUCUGUCUCUCUUCCUUUUUGUCUGUUAAACUUUUUGCUCCUUAACCCACUCCACGUGUGUGUCCAUGUCGUUAAUCAUCAGCGUGAGACAGCUAACCACAGUGUUUUAGCACAGGCACUACCCCUAGAAUUUCCAGUACACCAGCACAAGCCUGGAAACCACAUCCUUAUCAAAAGACAGAAAGAAAAAAACUCGAGCCAGCCUGGGAAGGACCCUAUUUUUUGCUGUUAACCACUGAGACUGCCGUCCGCACAGCCAAGAAAGGAUGGACCCACCAUACUCGAGUCAAGAAAACAUCUUCUUCGUCAGAAUCAUGCGUUACUGUACUAGGAUUAAGCCCUACUAAGUUAAAGUUAAAGAAAGCUUAAUUUUCAUAUACUUUCUAUAUUGCUUCCUUUCCUUUCCUUGUUCUGUUACUAGCUCCUUUGUAACUAAGUCUGACUCACCUCAGACCGUUGCCUUUAAUGCUUGCUCUAUCAUACUUUGUGGAAAUGUAAAAGAUCAAUGACAGCUAACCUUUUCACACAAUUAUUUAUGCCCCAGCCCUCUAAUUUACACAGUUACCCCUAGCACUCAUUGUUGUGAUCACCUGCAGCCAAGAUGCUGAUUUUCUGCUCCUAUAGCCUGGCAACCUUGUAGUAAAUGGGACUAUGUCCUUUAAACUACUCAGAAGCAAAGUUGGACUUCCAUGAAAAAGGUUUGUGCAGAUCUAAAACCCCUCAUCUAUUUCAUUAAAAGAACUGCCCCUUCUAAUUGUUAGCCUUAUCAAUGUAACCCUGUCCUUCUCUCUAUCACCACCUCCACCUUAACUAACUCUAGACCUGCCCUUAAUUGCUUCUAUGGUAUUGGAAUAGGAAUUAAAGGAAAUUAAAGAAUGUGUAAGCAGAAACUCAGUUGUAUGUAAGACAACCCAAUUGCCCCUGAGAAAGAGAAAGAGCUGGAGUCCUUUAAAAAUUAACUGCCUGUUUCUCUGUGGCUAGGGAGCCUUAUCUCUCUUCCUUUCCCAGGCAUUGUAAAGACCCUGUUUCUCUAGCUGUGCAGCUGCAGGUUCACUAGACAGAUAAACUCAAGUCGUAAAACAUGGUUUUCCUUGAAAAGUAAGAAAUGCUGUAAUGCACGUCUCAGUUAAUUAAAUAACUGUCCUUGUUUCUCACUCCUGUAAUAUGCUUCCCCCUUCACAGAUCUCCACCCACCCCACAAAAUGCUUAAAAGGUAACUUAACUGUUUGUUCAGGGCUCAGUCCUUCGGUUUUUAAUCCGACUGUUUAAGGGCCAGUGCACUUAAAUAAUAAAUAUCUUCCUGAACCCCAUUGGUCUCUGAUUCCUUAAAACAUCCUGUAACAUUUCUGGGGACUCGCCUGGGAUUGGAGACGACAGAUUUACUGUUCCCUUUGCCUUCAGGACUAGAGCCCUGGGACCAGGGGAGACCUGGCAUCUAAGACUUGCCACAGGGGAGCUUCACCCGGACAGAGACUGGCUCUCCUUGCAUCCCACUGACCUGCCUGGCAGUGCAACGGAUUCGGGGACGGGGCUGCAGGACGAUACCAGCACUUCAGGAACUGUGUUGCAGGUGUCACACCUUGGAUUCACCAUAGCCAGCUAAAACCAGCGGCAGCAGUGACUCCCGAAGACGACCAGUGGACUAGCCAACAAGACCCAGAUCGCCCCACCCGAACAGUCCUAUGGUAACACCCAACUACCGGUAAGAAGGACAACUGCCCUGCUCUGACCACACCGGAGGCUGGUCAGUCUACACAUGGCUGAAGCUUGAGGAUCCUGCAAGCUCUGCUCUAGUCACAUCCCAGAAGCUGACUAGUCUAUGCACAGCUGAAGCUAAGAGGACCAUCUCCGGAUAAGUAAAUGUGGAUACAAUUUAUAAGCCUAGCUAUAAUUCUGUCAAUACUGAUUGUUCUGUUAUGUUAUUACUGCAAAUGCUGCAAAUGUCUAUGCCCAGAGGAAGGUUUGCCAUGCCCAUGUGUAGUAUAAGCAUGUUUCUAUUACAUACGCUAAUGUUCUUACCAUUUUUGCCUAUACUAAAAAAGGAGAAGUCUCUAGAAAGAUGCCCACACUGUGUAUACCCUACCUGGGUAAGAAAUACCAUAGUUAAAACUCUACUGUACCAAACCUACUAUGAAUGUACAGGAACCAAGUUAGGAACCUGCGCAUACAACCAGACCACCUAUUCAGUCUGUGACCCAGGAAAUAAUCAGCUAUAUGUAUGUUAUUACCCCAAACUCUUACUUUAUGAAUUCUGAUUUGAGGUACAUAUUAAAUCAGAGGGAGAAAAAGAAGGAGAGCUUAUAGCUUGAACAAAAGAAGCCCCUCCCUCCUAUAAAAGGCACAUUUCCUUGUACUUUGAUGCCUGCCAUGCAACAUAUGUUCAUAAUCUUAAAAAAAAAAAAAAAAAAAAGAAGCAGUCUGCUAUGGUUUAACACAAGAGAGGCUUAACAACAACAGUCCUAAACAUCUGUAUGGAGAACCACAAAUCGGAUGCCCGGACUGUAACAUUCAGUGGUCUAUGCUAACACAGCUCCAACACUUAUAUUCAGGAAGGACUGCUCUGCUAAAUAGUAUGUCAACCAAACCAAAUUGUAAGACAAGGACAUGCAAUCCUUUAAAUUUUACUAUCUUAAAGCCAGAGCUACCUUUUUGGCCUACAGGACAGACAGCACUAUUAUGAGUUGAUAGACAAGAAGCAGGCCUUGGAGUUCCACUACUGAUUGUCAGAAAGACUAGAAGGACUCAAAAGUGUCCAAUCCUGCAAUUCUGGGUCCAUAAGUCAUUCUAUAAGCAUUUUGAACAGCCAGUGCCUGAGCUUCCCCAUCACCCAAAAACGUUUUUGCUCAACUAGCUGAAAACAUAACUGGCAGCUUAGGAAUUUCCUCAUGCUAUGGAUGUGGAGGAACUAAUAUGGGGGACCAGUGGCCAUGGGAGGAAAAGGAAUUAAUGCCAAAAGAUCACUUCACUUCACCUAACCCUGCCAGUGAACCAACAGCCUCAGUCAGUGUUUGGUUGUUAAAAACCCCCAUAAUUGGAAAGUACUGUAUCACCCGAUGGGGAAAGGCUUUCACAGAGGCAGUAGGAGAAACAACCUGCCUAGGGCAACAGCAUUAUGAUGAGACUAAAAACAAAACUCUAUGGAGAAACGCCCAGAAUGACUCCUACUUACCAGGUCCAAACCCUUUCUCUCGAUUCUCUACUCUAAGCCACACUUGGUAUCAGGUAGAGGCUCCAAAUGCUUGGAAGGUACCCUCUGUCCUAUAAUGGAUCUGUGGAGCAUGGGCAUAUCAGCAACUGCCAGCUAAAUGGACAGGGGCAUGUAUGUUAGGAACAAUCAAGCCGUCCUUUCUAAUUCCUCUAAAGCAAAGGGAACUCUUAGGAUAUCCAGUUUAUGAUGAAAAUAAAAGAACUAGAAGAAGCAUAAUCACAAAAAUAGACACAAAUGUCAAAAAGAUGUGGACAUAGGAGACUGAAAAGAUAAUUGUCUCCUGAAAGAAUCAUUGAAUAUUAUAAGCCAGCUACCUGGGCGCAAGACGGGUCAUGGGGAUAUUGCACCCCAAUCUGUAUGCUCAACUGCAUCAUAAAGUUGUAGGUAGUCCUUGAAAUUAUAACCAAUGAAACAUCAAGGGCACUAGGUUUAUUGGCAAUACAAGCAACACAAAUAAGAAAUGCUGUAUAUCAAAAUAGAUUAGCUUUAGAUUACCUCUUAGCCUCAGAAGGAGUAGUAGGUAGAAAAUUUAAUUAAACCAACUGUUGCCUAGAAAUCGUUGAUAAUGGCCGAGCUAUUAUGGAAAUCACAGCUAGAAUGUGCGAGCUGGCCCAUGUUCUAGUUCAGACUUGGUCUGGGUGGUCCCCGGAUUCCUUGUUUGGAAAAUGGUUCUCAACCUUUGGAAGAUUCAAAACCCUCAUUGGUAGGUUCUUGCUUAUUCUUGGCAUCUGCCUCAUCCUCCCUUGCCUUUUACCUCCGUUUAUUAGGCGUAUUCAGUCAACUAUAGAGGCAGUAGUAACCCGACACACUACCAUGCAGUUGAUGGCAUUAACCAAAUAUCAGCCGCUGCCAGUAGAAGAAGCUCAGCUCUGUGAAGAGGUGGCAAAAGUGGUGCUUUUUAUUAACACCUUUGUUAUAAAAAGCACCAAAGGGGGGAAUGGAACAGGAAUUAAAAGAAAUUAAAGGAUGUGUAAGCAGAAACUCGGUUGUAUGUAAGAAAACCCAAUUCCCCCUGAGAAAAAGAAAGAACUGGAGUCCUUUAAAAAUUAACUGCCUGUUUUUCUGUGGCCAGUGAGCCUUCUCUCUCCUUUCCCAGACAUUGUAAAGACCCUGUUUCCCGAGCUGUGCAGCUGCAAGGUCACUAGACAGAUAAACUCAAGUUGUAAAACCUGUUUUUCCUUGAAAAUUAAGAAAUGAUGUAAUGCAUGUCUCAAUUAAUUGAAUAACUGUCUCUGUUUCUCACUUCUGUAAUAUGCUUCCCCCUGCCCCACGAUAUGCUUAAAAAGUAACUUAACUGUUUGUUCAGGGCUCAGUCCUUUGGAUGUUAAUCUGACUGGGCUGGUGCACCUAAAUAAUAAAUAUCCUCCUGAACCCCAUCGAUCUCUCUGAUUCCUUAUCAAUCCUGCUACACUUUGAGAACCUACAGCACAAUGGUCAGGCAUUGAUCAGACAUUGUGGCAAUCCUCACAUUUCCUGGCACAGGGCCCUGUAAACACAGCAGCCAACAAAGGUUACUGAGUGAAGUAAAUAUAGGUACAAAAAGACUUAUAGAACCAUUAUUUUCACAAUAAAACAUCCUGCCCCUGUUGCCCACUGCCAGAGAAUAACCAUCAUCUUUCUUCUUUCAAGGACCCUUGUGAAUAAACACAUACAAACUGGCAGAAGCAGGAAAUACGAGGCAGCAUGUUUAAUCAUCUCCAUCUAUUCAAAAACCCCAUGAGAUAGUUAUCAUUGUCAUUCCCAUUUUACAGAUUAGAAAACUAACACAAACGGAGAGUGAUCAAGUGAGAUUAGCCAGCUACCAACAGGUAAGCAAAGCAAAAUUUCAGAUUCCAGCAGUUUAGCUCCAGCAGGAGCCAGCCUGAGGAGGAGACAUCUUAGUUAAAAUCAGAAAGAGGCUGUCAGAUUGUCAUCCCUUCCCAUCUCUUCGAAAGUGAAUUGGUCAAAUAUUUUCUAGCUGUUUUCUUACCCAUCCUCUGGGAACAUGAGGUAUAAUGGGUGCACUCAUCCAUUAUGAUCAGUCGUUGAGGUGACUGGAACCCACAGUACAUGUAGGGGCCCACAAAACAGUUUAAUUUCUUAUAUAAAAUGAGGUUGAUGAAAAGGGUCGUUGUGCAAGCAAAAAUAGAAUGAGUCACCCAAAUGAUGGAGGAUAGGUCCUAUAGUUGAAACCUACUCUCUAUAUUCAGGAC